rnacentral:rRNA from 1 species
GAUGAACGUUGGCGGCGUGCCUAAUACAUGCAAGUCGAGCGAACAGAUGAGGAGCUUGCUCCUCUGACGUUAGCGGCGGACGGGUGAGUAACACGUGGAUAACCUACCUAUAAGACUGGGAUAACUUCGGGAAACCGGAGCUAAUACCGGAUAAUAUAUUGAACCGCAUGGUUCAAUAGUGAAAGACGGUUUUGCUGUCACUUAUAGAUGGAUCCGCGCCGCAUUAGCUAGUUGGUAAGGUAACGGCUUACCAAGGCAACGAUGCGUAGCCGACCUGAGAGGGUGAUCGGCCACACUGGAACUGAGACACGGUCCAGACUCCUACGGGAGGCAGCAGUAGGGAAUCUUCCGCAAUGGGCGAAAGCCUGACGGAGCAACGCCGCGUGAGUGAUGAAGGUCUUCGGAUCGUAAAACUCUGUUAUUAGGGAAGAACAAAUGUGUAAGUAACUAUGCACGUCUUGACGGUACCUAAUCAGAAAGCCAUGGCUAACUACGUG